UAUGAAGUGCCUGAAAUGAAAGGAUAACUUUGAUAGAGUUGGUCAUGUGUGUUACACCUUCAUAA
rnacentral:tRNA from 1 species